rnacentral:tRNA from 1 species
AUUUUAUUAGCUUAUUAAGAGCUUUAUAUUGAAGCUAUAAAGGAAAGAUUUAUCUUAUAAAAUA